CACGUAAGGGGCGAGCGUUGUUCGGAAUUAUUGGGCGUAAAGGGCGCGUAGGCGGUUUGUCAAGUCUGGUGUGAAAGACCACAGCUCAACUGUGGGGGCGCACUGGAAACUGUCAGACUAGAGUAUAGGAGGGGAAGCUGGAAUUCCUGGUGUAGGGGUGAAAUCUGUAGAUAUCAGGAAGAACACCGGUGGCGAAGGCGAGCUUCUGGCCAUAUACUGACGCUGAGGCGCGAAAGCGUGGGGAGCGAACAGG
rnacentral:rRNA from 1 species